GACGGAGGAGGCAAGCGUUGUCCGGAAUUACUGGGCGUAAAGCGCUCGUAGGCGGUCGUCUACGGCGGUGGUGAAAGCUCCCGGCUCAACUGGGAGAGGCCCGCCGCAACGGGACGACUCGAGGGUGGUAGAGGCAGAUGGAAUUCCUGGUGUAGCAGUGAAAUGCGUAGAUAUCAGGAGGAAUACCGAUGGCGAAGGCAGGUCUCUGGGCUGACACUGACGCUCAUGCACGAAAGCGUGGGGAGCAAACAGG
rnacentral:rRNA from 1 species